rnacentral:rRNA from 1 species
UCAAGUCUUUAAGAGCAAACGGUGGAUGCCUUGGCAUCUGGAGCCGAAGAAGGACGUAGCAAUCUGCGAUAAGCCUCGGGGAGCUGAUAAGCGAGCUUUGAUCCGAGGAUGUCCGAAUGGGGAAACCCCGCUGGGAGCUUCGUGCUACCCAGUGACUCCCGCCUGAAUAUAUAGGGCGGGUAGAGGGAACGUGGGGAAGUGAAACAUCUCAGUACCCACAGGAAGAGAAAACAACAGUGAUUCCGGUAGUAGUGGCGAGCGAAACCGGAACAGGCCAAACCGAUCAUGUGUGAUAGCCGGCAGGCGUUGCAUGGUCGGGGUUGUGGGACUCUUACGGUUUUCUGCCGAAAACCACGUAGAUAGUUGUUGUAUAGACAAAUGGUCUUGAAAGGCCAGCCGCAGAGGGUGCCAGCCCCGUAGUUGAAAUGCAGCACUAAUGCGAAGAGGAUCCCAAGUAUCACGGGGCCCGAGAAAUCCCGUGUGAAUCUGCCAGGACCACCUGGUAAGCCUAAAUACUCCCAGAUGACCGAUAGCGGACAAGUACCGUGAGGGAAAGGUGAAAAGUACCCCGGGAGGGGAGUGAAAUAGUACCUGAAACCGUUUGCUUACAAACCGUUGGAGCCUCCUUAGUAGGGGUGACAGCGUGCCUUUUGAAGAAUGAGCCUGCGAGUUAGCGAUACGUGGCGAGGUUAACCCGUGUGGGGUAGCCGUAGCGAAAGCGAGUCUGAAUAGGGCGAUUCAGUCGCGUGUCCUAGACCCGAAGCGAAGUGAUCUAUCCAUGGCCAGGCUGAAGCGACGGUAAGACGUCGUGGAGGGCCGAACCCACUUAGGUUGAAAACUGAGGGGAUGAGCUGUGGAUAGGGGUGAAAGGCCAAUCAAACUUCGUGAUAGCUGGUUCUCUCCGAAAUGCAUUUAGGUGCAGCGUUGCGUGUUUCUUGCCGGAGGUAGAGCUACUGGAUGGCCGAUGGGCCCUACAAGGUUACUGACGUCAGCCAAACUCCGAAUGCCGGUAAGUGAGAGCGCAGCAGUGAGACUGUGGGGGAUAAGCUUCAUAGUCGAGAGGGAAACAACCCAGACCACCAUCUAAGGUCCCUAAGCGCGUGCUAAGUGGGAAAGGAUGUGGAGUUGCUUAGACAACCAGGAGGUUGGCUUAGAAGCAGCCACCCUUGAAAGAGUGCGUAAUAGCUCACUGGUCAAGUGAUCCUGCGCCGACAAUGUAGCGGGGCUCAAGUACACCACCGAAGCUGCGGCAUUCAUACGAUAGCCCGCUGUGUUCCUACGGGGAUGCAGCCAGGUGUGUGGAUGGGUAGGGGAGCGUCGUGCAGCCGUGGAAGCAUCGGAGUGAUCCAGGUGUGGAGGCUGUGCGAGUGAGAAUGCAGGCAUGAGUAGCGAAAGACGAGUGAGAAACUCGUCCGCCGAAUGACCAAGGGUUCCUGGGCCAGGUUAAUCCGCCCAGGGUGAGUCGGGACCUAAGACGAGGCCGACAGGCGUAGCCGAUGGACAACGGGUUGAUAUUCCCGUACCCGUGUGAUCGCGCCCAUGGUGAAUCAGUGAUACUAACCGCCCUGAAUCUGCGUGACUGAUCUCUUUCGAGAGUGAGGCGUGUGGUGGAUGCGUGGGACCUGAUCUGGUAGUAGCCAAGCGAUGGGGUGACGCAGGAAGGUAGCUGGGCCAGUGAGUGGUUGUACUGGUGUAAGCCUGUAGGGCGAACGGUAGGCAAAUCCGCCGUUCACACAAGCCUGAGAGGUGAUGCGUAGCCGAUUGAGGCGAAUUCAGUGAUCCUAUGCUGCCGAGAAAAGCCUCUAGCGAGCUGUCACACGGCCCGUACCCCAAACCGACACAGGUGGUCAGGUAGAGAAUACUAAGGCGAUCGAGAUAACUAUGGUUAAGGAACUCGGCAAAAUGCCCCCGUAACUUCGGGAGAAGGGGGGCCCCUGCCGGUGAUGGAACUUGCUUCCUGAGCUGGUGUGGGCCGCAGAGACCAGUGAGAAGCGACUGUUUACUAAAAACACAGGUCCGUGCGAAGUCGUAAGACGAUGUAUACGGACUGACGCCUGCCCGGUGCUGGAAGGUUAAGAGGACCGGUUAGCCGCAAGGCGAAGCUGAGAAUUUAAGCCCCAGUAAACGGCGGUGGUAACUAUAACCAUCCUAAGGUAGCGAAAUUCCUUGUCGGGUAAGUUCCGACCUGCACGAAUGGCGUAACGACUUCUCAGCUGUCUCAACCAUAGACUCGGCGAAAUUGCAUUACGAGUAAAGAUGCUCGUUACGCGCGGCAGGACGAAAAGACCCCGGGACCUUCACUACAGCUUGGUAUUGGUGUUCGGUUCGGUUUGUGUAGGAUAGGUGGGAGACUGUGAAGCGGUGACGCCAGUUACUGUGGAGUCGUUGUUGAAAUACCACUCUGAUCGUAUUGGAUACCUCAACCUCGGACCAUGAUCUGGUUCAGGGACAGUGCCUGGUGGGUAGUUUAACUGGGGCGGUUGCCUCCUAAAAUGUAACGGAGGCGCCCAAAGGUUCCCUCAGCCUGGUUGGCAAUCAGGUGUCGAGUGCAAGUGCACAAGGGAGCUUGACUGUGAGACUGACAAGUCGAGCAGGGACGAAAGUCGGGACUAGUGAUCCGGCACCGGCAAGUGGAAGCGGUGUCGCUCAACGGAUAAAAGGUACCAGAUCGGAAGAGCGUCGUGUAGGGAAAGAGUGUAGAUCUCGGUGGUCGCC